rnacentral:lncRNA from 1 species
CUCUAACAACAUUGACACCGAUACAUAUUAUUUUAUUUUUUUCGAUUCUUACGAGAAACAUAUUUGAGGGCCGACAAAUGUCUAGAAAAAUGAGGAAAUCGAUUUCUGUUUCCUCCUCCAAAAUUUGUUCAUUUUGCCAUUUUUUAAAUUUAUUUUGAUAAAAAAACCCUGCUACAGCACAGUUUCAAAAAGCCACUAGCUAUCAGCUUUUUUUAUAUAUAUAUUAAUAUGGGGCAUCGAAAGAGAUUGUGUGUGAUGUCAGUAGAUGAAGCAAUUGAAGGGGAAUAUUUAAACAAACAGAUGAAGCUGGGAGAAUAUAAAAAAAAAAAAAAAAACGUGCGUGCUUUAGCUUUAGCUUCAGCUGAAUGGUUGUUAGCAAACAGUUAAGUAGUUGUAAGUUGUUAGUUUGUUAUGAAUCGUUAAACAAUUGUGCUAUAAAUAGAUGAGCUCAGUGUAGAGAGAAAGCAGUGAUUGGAAUUCAAGAUUUUCUCAAAAGAUUUCUUCUCUUUGUUUUACAAAUUCGAGUGUUUCAGUAGAGUUUCUUCAUGGUUUAGCACCUUUCACCUUUCUUUUCGCUUUGCUUCAUGACUCAGUUAAAAUCCCCUCACAGCACAAGGCUCACGUAAUAUGGACGGUCGUUAAUUACAAAUAGUAAAGGAAAAUUUUAUGUGGCAUGAAAUAUCCACGUAACAUAUGAGGAAGAACAAUCCUAUGC